GAAAGAGGGUGCAAACGUUGUUCGGAAUUACUGGGCGUAAAGCGCGUGUAGGCGGUCCUGCAGGUCGGAUGUGAAAUCCCUCGGCUCAACCAAGGAAGUGCAUUCGAAACCGCAGGACUUGAGUGUCGGAGAGGAAGGCGGAAUUGUCGGUGUAGAGGUGAAAUUCGUAGAUAUCGACAGGAACACCUGUGGCGAAAGCGGCCUUUUGGACGAACACUGACGCUGAGACGCGAAAGCGUGGGGAGCAAACAGG
rnacentral:rRNA from 1 species